GACGAACGCUGGCGGCGUGCCUAAUACAUGCAAGUCGAGCGAGCGGAACCAACAGAUUUACUUCGGUAAUGACGUUGGGAAAGCGAGCGGCGGAUGGGUGAGUAACACGUGGGGAACCUGCCCCUAAGUCUGGGAUACCAUUUGGAAACAGGUGCUAAUACCGGAUAAUAAAGCAGAUCGCAUGAUCAGCUUUUGAAAGGCGGCGUAAGCUGUCGCUAAGGGAUGGCCCCGCGGUGCAUUAGCUAGUUGGUAAGGUAACGGCUUACCAAGGCGACGAUGCAUAGCCGAGUUGAGAGACUGAUCGGCCACAUUGGGACUGAGACACGGCCCAAAACUCCUACGGGAGGCAGCAGUAGGGAAUCUUCCACAAUGGACGCAAGUCUGAUGGAGCAACGCCGCGUGAGUGAAGAAGGUUUUCGGAUCGUAAAGCUCUGUUGUUGGUGAAGAAGGAUAGAGGUAGUAACUGGCCUUUAUUUGACGGUAAUCAACCAGAAAGUCAC
rnacentral:rRNA from 1 species